rnacentral:rRNA from 1 species
GGUGGAUGCCUUGGCGACAAGAGGCGAUGAAAGACGUGAUACGCUGCGAUAAGCCAUGGGGAGCUGCGAAUAAGCUUUGAUCCGUGGAUUUCUGAAUGGGGCAACCCACUCCGUAUGGAGUACCCUUUAAUGGGAGCAAACCCGGGGAACUGAAACAUCUAAGUACCCGGAGGAAAGGACAGCAAUAGCUACUCCCCUAGUAGUGGCGAGCGAACGGGGACCAGCCGAGCCUUGAGAGUGACCAGAAUGUGCUGGAAAGCACAGCCAUAGCGGGUGACAGCCCCGUAUGGGAAGCUCGAUGGGACGUAUCAAGUAGGGCGGGACACGUGAAAUCCUGUCUGAAGAUCGGAGGACCACCUUCGAAGGCUAAGUACUCCUUACUGACCGAUAGUGAACCAGUACCGUGAGGGAAAGGUGAAAAGCACCCCGACGAGGGGAGUGAAACAGUACCUGAAACCGAACGCCUACAAUCAGUCGGAGCCUCCUUGCGAGGUGACGGCGUACCUUUUGUAUAAUGGGUCAGCGACU